rnacentral:lncRNA from 1 species
UCGUGUGUGUCCGGCUGUUUCUGGACAACAAAGAGUGGCGGGACAAGGAGCAGCGGCUGAAGCUCUGUGGGGUGCUUACGGAGGAAGAAGAAGGGUUGCAACCUUGGCGCGACGGUAGUGAUGGCGGAUUGAGGCGGCGGUUCUUCAGGUGUAGGCGACAGAUUUCAGGUGUUAGCUCUUGUUUCUAAGGUUCUAGGGUUAGGUUGUUC